rnacentral:misc_RNA from 1 species
GAUGAAGAACGCAGCGAAAUGCGAUACGUAAUGUGAAUUGCAGAAUUCAGUGAAUCAUCGAGUCUUUGAACGCACAUUGCGCCCCCUGGUAUUCCGGGGGGCAUGCCUGUCCGAGCGUCAUUGCUGCCCUCAAGCACGGCUUGUGUGUUGGGCCUCCGUCCUCCUCCCGGGGGACGGGCCCGAAAGGCAGCGGCGGCACCGCGUCCGGUCCUCGAGCGUAUGGGGCUUCGUCACCCGCUCUUGUAGGCCCGGCCGGCGCUUGCCGACACAUCAAUCUUUUUUCCAGGUUGACCUCGGAUCAGGUAGGGAUACCCGCUGAACUUAAGCAUAUCAAUAAGCGAGGA